rnacentral:rRNA from 1 species
UUGAGUUUGAUCCUGGCUCAGAAUGAACGUUGGCGGCGUGGAUUAGGCAUGCGAGUCGUACGAGAACCCGCAAGGGGGAAAGUGGCGAACGGGGUAGUAAUGCGUAGGUGACGUGCCCUGCGGUCGGGGAUAGCUUAGGGAAACUUAAGGUAAUACCCGAUGACACCAUGCGGUUUGAAUACCAUAUGGUCAAAGGUGUGAUUCCACCACAGGAGCGGCUUGCGUGGUAUUAGCUAGUUGGUGAGGUAACGGCUCACCAAGGCAACGAUGCCUAGGGGAUGUUAGCGCAUGAUCCCCACCACUGGGACUGAGAUACUGCCCAGACACCUACGGGUGGCUGCAGUCGAGAAUCUUCGGCAAUGGGGGAAACCCUGACCGAGCGACGCCGCGUGUGGGAUGAAGGCCCUUGGGUUGUAAACCACUGUCAGAGGGGAUGAAGUGCUAGAGAGCUAUCUCUCUAGUUUGACAUAGCCUCAGAGGAAGCACGGGCUAAGUUCGUGCCAGCAGCCGCGGUAAGACGAACUGUGCAAACGUAUUCGGAAUCACUGGGCUUGAAGAGUGCGUAGGCGGUUUCGUAAGUAGGGUGUGAAAGCCCUCGGCUCAACCGGGGAAUUGCGUCCUAAACUGCGAGGCUGGAGUGAGGUAGGGGUGUGUGGAACUUCCAGUGGAGCGGUGAAAUGUGUUGAUAUUGGAAGGAACGCCGGUGGCGAAAGCGACACACUGGACCUUGUCUGACGCUG